GCUUACAGCCAUACCACACUCAGCGCGCCCGAUCUCGUCUGAUCUCGUAUGCUAAGCAGGGUCGGGCCUGGUUAGUACUUGGAUGGGAGACAGCCUGGGAAUACCAGGUGCUGUAAGAU
ensembl:rRNA 5S_rRNA 5S ribosomal RNA